rnacentral:rRNA from 1 species
AGAGUUUGAUCCUGGCUCAGGACGAACGCUGGCGGCGUGCUUAACACAUGCAAGUCGAACGGAAAGGCCCUUCGGGGUACUCGAGUGGCGAACGGGUGAGUAACACGUGGGUGAUCUGCCCUGCACUUUGGGAUAAGCCUGGGAAACUGGGUCUAAUACCGAAUAUGACCACGCUCUUCAUGGGGUGUGGUGGAAAGCUUUUGCGGUGUGGGAUGGGCCCGCGGCCUAUCAGCUUGUUGGUGGGGUAAUGGCCUACCAAGGCGACGACGGGUAGCCGGCCUGAGAGGGUGACCGGCCACACUGGGACUGAGAUACGGCCCAGACUCCUACGGGAGGCAGCAGUGGGGAAUAUUGCACAAUGGGCGCAAGCCUGAUGCAGCGACGCCGCGUGAGGGAUGACGGCCUUCGGGUUGUAAACCUCUUUCACCAGGGACGAAGCGCAAGUGACGGUACCUGGAGAAGAAGCACCGGCCAACUACGUGCCAGCAGCCGCGGUAAUACGUAGGGUGCGAGCGUUGUCCGGAAUUACUGGGCGUAAAGAGCUCGUAGGUGGUUUGUCGCGUUGUUCGUGAAAACUCACAGCUUAACUGUGGGCGUGCGGGCGAUACGGGCAGACUAGAGUACUGCAGGGGAGACUGGAAUUCCUGAUGUAGCGGUGGAAUGCGCAGAUAUCAGGAGGAACACCGGUGGCGAAGGCGGGUCUCUGGGCAGUAACUGACGCUGAGGAGCGAAAGCGUGGGGAGCGAACAGGAUUAGAUACCCUGGUAGUC